CAGAACCGUACAAGAUCAUACAUGCACAUUAAAAAGAAUGUAUGAGGUACAUGUAGCAGAUGUCGUCACAAUCAAUGGCACACAACAGAGACAGAUAAGAACACAGACUGGUAAACUUCAUAACGGUGAUGUUUGUGGCAGAGAGUUUUGUAAAAAUAGUGACUUGAAGAGACACGUGAAAACACGUACUGUCAAAAAACUUCAUAAAUGUGUUGUUUGUCCUAGAGAAUUUGACCAGAGUAGUGACUUGAAGAGACACGUGAAAACACAUACUAGUACUGGCAAAAAACUUCAUAAAUGUGUUGUUUGUCCUAGAGAAUUUGACCAGAGUAGUGACUUGAAGAGACAUGUGAAAACACAUACUGGCAAAAAACUUCAUAAAUGUGUUGUUUGUCCUAAAGAAUUUGGCCAGAGUAG
rnacentral:lncRNA from 1 species